rnacentral:rRNA from 1 species
UACGUAGGGUGCAAGCGUUGUCCGGAAUUAUUGGGCGUAAAGAGCUCGUAGGCGGUUUGUCGUGUCUGCUGUGAAAACUCGGGGCUUAACCCCGGGCCUGCAGUGGGUACGGGCAGACUAGAGUGCGGUAGGGGAGACUGGAAUUCCUGGUGUAGCGGUGAAAUGCGCAGAUAUCAGGAGGAACACCGGUGGCGAAGGCGGGUCUCUGGGCCGUAACUGACGCUGAGGAGCGAAAGCAUGGGGAGCGAACAGG